rnacentral:rRNA from 1 species
AGAGCGAACGCUGGCGGCAGGCCUAACACAUGCAAGUCGAACGGACUCUUCGGAGUUAGUGGCGGACGGGUGAGUAACACGUGGGAACGUGCCUUUAGGUUCGGAAUAGCUCCUGGAAACGGGUGGUAAUGCCGAAUGUGCCCUUCGGGGGAAAGAUUUAUCGCCUUUAGAGCGGCCCGCGUCUGAUUAGCUAGUUGGUGAGGUAAAGGCUCACCAAGGCUACGAUCAGUAGCUGGUCUGAGAGGAUGACCAGCCACAUUGGGACUGAGACACGGCCCAAACUCCUAACGGGAGGCAGCAGGUGGGGAAUCUUGCGACAAGUUGGGACGUAAAG